CACUGUAUCCUUCGACAAAGCUCAGCCCGACGGCAUUUGGACUUUGCUGCUCAUCAAGCUGAACAACUCUUUGGAGUGCGGCUACGUGAAUCCGGUCGAAGAGCAGCCUCGCUCGAGCGCCAACUUCAACUACUAGCUGUGGCACGAUCUCCUGGUAACAGGAAUAGUCACUCUCGGUGGACUUUCCAGUGCUUUAUUCGACAAGCACACUUACGUCACUGUCGGGUCGAAACACGAUAAGAGAGACGGAAUCGAGGGGAACAGUGUGGAUUAUGGUGAGCAUAGACUGACAACCGCCAUCCCAUUGCAUAGUGUGAUAUCCGUGAACCAUUCAAGGGCUGUCUCGGCGAGGUGCGCAUCGGCAGCAUACUGCUGCACUACUUCACGAAUGAAGAAGUAUCAAAAUGCGAAUUUUACGCCGCUGGAGUUGCUGAGCAACGUUGCAAAGCAUCUGCGACAGCGGCUGGCAGGGAUGCCUAUGCGACAACGAUAUCAACGAGUGCGUGACGCUGAAUCCCUGCAAACACGACGGCGUGUGCGUGAAUGUGCCGGGCUCAUUUCGCUGCGAGUGCCCGGACCAGUUUACUGGUGAUUUGUGCGAAAAAUUCCGACUGAUCACAUGUGAGAACAACCCAUGCAUGCGCGGCGCGACCUGCCUCGACUC